rnacentral:lncRNA from 1 species
GCUGUGAUGACUCCCAUGGUAAAAGGUCAGUUUCCGAAGGUGUUGCAAAUUGAUAGAUCGAUUUAGAAUCUUCGUUUUCCAUAAGGUAAGAGUAAAGAAAAUAAAGAAUAUAAAAAGAUAAGAAAAGAUAAAAAAUAUAAAUACAAGCUAGUAGUAAGACUCAAGGUUAUCUUAGCAAACCGUCUUUCUCCCCGGCAACGGCGCCAGAAAUGCUUGUUGAUAUUUGGUAACGCAAUCAGGAAAUGAUCCGCAAGCGCACAGAUAUCAGUGAGCACUUCACCCGGGAUGUUAUCCAGACUAUCGUAUUUAUAGUUUUACCACUAGGAGAAAGCGUGUAUCUGACUAACCCGGUCUAUUACUACUAACCUUUAGGCUACAAACUACGUGACUCGAUGUGAGUGAUAUAUAGAGAAGACUACAACCGCACUCUCGUUCAAACCUUGGUAAGGAUGAUCUACUGUUCUGCUGGGGAGGCUCACGGAAUCUAGACACCACGGAGGAUGUUCGACCAGCACCUAUAAACCCUAUCGAUCGUGCUAACGGUAUAUGGGCUACAAAGGUAACUCGGAAAUGUCACGUUCCUCGCUACUACCACGGUCCGGCUAGACAGGGGAUAUCUAUUAAUAUCCUAGCCCAAACACCACGUUUACGGUAGAGUUGAUUACUCUAAACUCUACACGAAGAGAUCAAAGUAAACUCAUAAACCAAAGAACAAAAAAACAAAGAACUUACUAGAAUUUAGAAGUCAAAAUACUAAAGAAUCCUAGGAGCAAGCCUCGGGUUAGGAGACUUGAUCCCGCAGGACCAACCUCGGAGUAGACACCAACAGGCCGGGCUUCCUCCGAUCUACACCUCCACUCUAUCUCUAUCAAUAUAGUAGAACUAAUUCUACUCUCACAUUGGAUGCUAAGCCCUAUGAGGUGGGAACCCUAAGGAACCUCUCUCUUUGAAUCCUCUAUGGAAAAUAUGCUA